GACGAACGCUGGCGGCGUGCUUAACACAUGCAAGUCGAGCGAGAAACUUCGGUUUCUAGCGGCGGACGGGUGAGUAACACGUGGGCAACCUGCCUCACAAUGGGGGAUAGCCUUCCGAAAGGAAGAUUAAUACCGCAUAACACAAAGGAAACGCAUGUUUCUUUUGCCAAAGAAUUUCGUUGUGAGAUGGGCCCGCGGCGCAUUAGCUUGUUGGUGAGGUAACGGCUCACCAAGGCUUCGAUGCGUAGCCGACCUGAGAGGGUGAUCGGCCACAUUGGAACUGAGACACGGUCCAGACUCCUACGGGAGGCAGCAGUGGGGAAUAUUGCACAAUGGAGGAAACUCUGAUGCAGCAACGCCGCGCGAGUGAUGAAGGUCUUCGGAUUGUAAAGCUCUGUCUUCUGGGACGAUAAUGACGGUACCAGAGGAGGAAGCCACGGCUAACUACGUGCCAGCCGCCGCGGUAA
rnacentral:rRNA from 1 species